UACAGAGGGGGCAAGCGUUGUUCGGAAUUACUGGGCGUAAAGGGUGCGCAGGCGGCGUCGCAAGUCAGGCGUGAAAUCCCCGGGCUUAACCUGGGAACUGCACUUGAAACUACGAUGCUGGAGUAUGGCAGAGGGAGGUGGAAUUCCACGUGUAGCAGUGAAAUGCGUAGAGAUGUGGAGGAACACCGAUGGCGAAGGCAGCCCCCUGGGCUAACACUGACGCUCAUGCACGAAAGCGUGGGGAGCAAACAGG
rnacentral:rRNA from 1 species